rnacentral:rRNA from 1 species
UACAGAGGUCCCGAGCGUUGUUCGGAUUCACUGGGCGUAAAGGGUGCGUAGGUGGUCGGUUAAGUCUGACGUGAAAUCUCCGAGCCUAACUCGGAAACUGCGUCGGAAACUAUCCGGCUUGAGGAUUGGAGGGGGGACUGGAAUACUUGGUGUAGCAGUGAAAUGCGUAGAUAUCAAGUGGAACACCAGUGGCGAAGGCGAGUCCCUGGACAAUUCCUGACACUGAGGCACGAAAGCGUGGGGAGCAAACAGG